UUGAACGCUGGCGGCAGGCCUAACCCAUGCAAGUCGAGCGGAUGAAGGGAGCUUGCUCCUGGAUUCAGCGGCGGACGGGUGAGUAAUGCCUAGGAAUCUGCCUGGUAGUGGGGGAUAACGUCCGGAAAUGGGCGCUAAUACCGCAUACGUCCUGAGGGAGAAAGUGGGGGAUCUUCGGACCUCACGCUAUCAGAUGAGCCUAGGUCGGAUUAGCUAGUUGGUGGGGUAAAGGCCUACCAAGGCGACGAUCCGUAACUGGUCUGAGAGGAUGAUCAGUCACACUGGAACUGAGACACGGUCCAGACUCCUACGGGAGGCAGCAGUGGGGAAUAUUGGACAAUGGGCGAAAGCCUGAUCCAGCCAUGCCGCGUGUGUGAAGAAGGUCUUCGGAUUGUAAAGCACUUUAAGUUGGGAGGAAGGGCAGUAAGUUAAUACCUUGCUGUUUUGACGUUACCAACAGAAUAAGCACCGGCUAACUUCGUG
rnacentral:rRNA from 1 species